rnacentral:rRNA from 1 species
UUCCGGUUGAUCCCGCCGGAGGCUACCGCUAUUGGAGUUCGAUUAAGCCAUGCGAGUCGCGAGUCUUAGGGACUCGGCGUACCGCUCAGUAACACGUGGGUAACCUGCCCUAUGCUGGGGGAUAACCUCGGGAAACUGAGAAUAAUACCCCAUAGUUCACCACGCCUGGAACGGUGGGUGGAUCAAAGCUCCGGCGGCAUAGGAUGGGCCUGCGGCGUAUCAGGUUGUAGGGGGUGUAAUGUACCCUCUAGCCCUCUACGCGUACGGGUGUUGAGAGACAUCGCCCGGAGAUGGAUUCUGAGACACGAAUCCAGACCCUACGGGGUGCAGCAGGCGCGAAAACUUGGCAAUGCGAGAAAUCGUGACCAGGGAACUCCAAGUGCAUCGGGUAAGACCGAUGCUUUUCUUGACUCUUCAAAGGUCUUGGAAUAAGGGGUGGGUAAGGACGGUGCCAGCCGCCGCGGUAAUACCGGCGCCCCAAGUGGUAGUCGCUUUUAUUGGGCCUAAAACGUCCGUAGCCUGUCUGGUACAUUCGUGGGUAAAUCAACCAGCUCAACUGGUUGAAUUCUGCGAGCACGGCCAGACUUGGGACCGGGAGAGGUGUGGGGUACUCUCAGGGUAGGGGUAAAAUCCUGUCAUCCUGAGAGGACCACCUGUUGCGAAGGCGCCACACUAGAACGGAUCCGACGGUCAGGGACGAAGCCUAGGGGCACGAACCGGAUUAGAUACCCGGGUAGUCCUAGGUGUAAACGCUGUGGACUUGAUGUUGGGAGCGCUCCGAGCGCCCUCAGUGUCGAAGCGAAGGUGAUAAGUCCACUGCCUGGGGAGUACGGUCGCAAGGCUGAAACUUAAAGGAAUUGGCGGGGGAGCACCGCAACCUGAGGAUUGUGCGGUUUAAUUGGAUUCAACGCCGG